UACGUAGGGGGCUAGCGUUGUCCGGAAUCAUUGGGCGUAAAGCGCGCGUAGGCGGCCAGAUAAGUCCGGUGUGAAGGUCAAAGGCUCAACCUUUGAAUGCCGCUGGAAACUGUUUGGCUCGAGUCCGGGAGGGGCGAGUGGAAUUCCUGGUGUAGCGGUGAAAUGCGCAGAUAUCAGGAAGAACACCCGUGGCUAAGGCGGCUCUCUAGUACGGUACUGACGCUGAGACGCGAAAGCGUGGGGAGCAAACAGG
rnacentral:rRNA from 1 species